GUUGAGGUCUGUCCCGAUGGAGCGCUUUCCGUAGACCUGCAUCAUUGGAAACGCCCCAUUGAGUGACUGUGGUUUCCUUUACUCACAGAGCUGCAUGUUAGAUCUGUGGGAAAGAACUGCAAGACAGAG